GGAUGAAUAGCUCAGUUGGUAGAGCAUUGGUUUGAAGCGCCAAUAGCACAGGUUCGAUUCCUGUUUCAUCCA
rnacentral:tRNA from 1 species